GAACUCUGGAAAGCAGUCGGCCACGGCCGGCUCACCGACGGGGCAAGGCGGCGCGAGCCGCGCGAAUCUCUCAGGUCAUCGACAGAGCGGGGA
rnacentral:ncRNA from 1 species